ACAGGUAGAUAAGCUUGUUUGAAGUUGAACCCUGUGCGAGUACAAUGAGAUUCCCCUGGUCAUUGCAAUUAAUAGUCACGUUAUCUUCUUGUGAAUGGAAGGGACCUCGUUGAGUUGGCUGAACUUCAAGAUUCUUUGUUAUAGCUACAUAAUUGCUUAAGAGAACAGAUGAGUUGGUGAGACACAGUAACCUUGAUCAUCAGUGGAUAUAGGAAGGUGGCAGUCCUGCUGAAUCAGGAGGUUUCAACGAUGUUUCUUGGUGAGAUGAUUGAUGGAGUAUCAUAAGAUAUUAUUUACUGCUCACUUUCUCUUGAACGUUCACAAGAAACAUUGCCUUCCAUGCAUUUGACACAAUCUACUAAUGGCUCUCAACUUGCCAUAGCAAGAACUCUCUCUGUGUAGGUUAUUCACUAGAGGUACUGGAAAAGCAUCGGAGCACUUCUCAGGUUUCACUUCUCUUCAGCGUCCACUGAUGACUACGAUCACUAUCCUGUCUCACAUUAACUAAUUUUUCUCUUCAAAUUUUUUUUUUAUCCAUGUUGUAGAAGAGUUAUUAUAUUGUGGAUUUGCGGGAACAUGAUGAAACUAUUCUUUCUCUUGUAAAAGCAUACGAUAUGCUUGAGUAGAAAUAGAACAACAUUUUACUAUUUUAA